UUCUUUAAGUAUUUAAUUUAAAGUAAAACCUGCUCAAUGUUUUUAAUAAAUAGCCGCAGAUUUACUGUGCUAAGGUAGCAUAAUAAUUAGCUUUUUAAUUAAAAGAUAGUAUGAAAGGUUAUAUGAAAUAUAAAUUGUUUCUAUAAUAAAUUAUAAAUUUAAAAUAAAAGUUAAAAUUCUCUUAUUAUAUAAGAAAGACGAUAAGACCCUAAUAAACUUUUAUCAUUUAGCUGGGGUGGCAAAUAAAACAAACCUUAAUAACAAAAUCAAUCCACCUAAAAUACUUUUUAAUAACUAUUAAGUUACUAUAGGGAUAACAGCGCAAUCUUUUUUAAAAGCUCACAUUAAAAAAAAGACUUACGACCUCGAUGUUGAAUUAAUAUUCUAUUAUAGGUGCAAAAACCUAAAAAAGAUAGUCUGUUCGACUAUUAAAAAAUU
rnacentral:rRNA from 1 species